rnacentral:rRNA from 1 species
UACGGAAGGCAGCAGUGGGGAAUAUUGCACAAUGGGCGCAAGCCUGAUGCAGCCAUGCCGCGUGUAUGAAGAAGGCCUUCGGGUUGUAAAGUACUUUCAGUCGUGAGGAAGGUGUUAAGGUUAAUAACCUUAGCAAUUGACGUUAGCGACAGAAGAAGCACCGGCUAACUCCGUGCCAGCAGCCGCGGUAAUACGGAGGGUGCGAGCGUUAAUCGGAAUUACUGGGCGUAAAGGGCACGCAGGCGGUUAAUUAAAGUUGGAUGUGAAAUCCCCGGGCUUAACCUGGGAAUGGCAUUCAAGACUGGUUAGCUAGAGUCUUGUAGAGGGGGUAGAAUUCCAUGUGUAGCGGUGAAAUGCGUAGAGAUGUGGAGGAAUACCGGUGGCGAAGGCGGCCCCUGGGACAAAGACUGACGCUCAUGUGCGAAAGCGUGGGGAGCAAACAGGAUUAGAUACC